rnacentral:rRNA from 1 species
AACGAACGCUGGCGGCAUGCCUAACACAUGCAAGUCGAACGAAGGCUUCGGCCUUAGUGGCGCACGGGUGCGUAACGCGUGGGAAUCUGCCCUUUGGUUCGGAAUAACAGCUGGAAACGGCUGCUAAUACCGGAUGAUGACGAAAGUCCAAAGAUUUAUCGCCAGAGGAUGAGCCCUCGUUGGAUUAGGUUGUUGCUUGGGUAAAGGCCUCCCAAGCCGACGAUCCAUAGCUGGUCUGAGAGGAUGAUCAGCCACACUGGGACUGAGACACGGCCCAGACUCCUACGGGAGGCAGCAGUGGGGAAUAUUGGACAAUGGGCGCAAGCCUGAUCCAGCAAUGCCGCGUGAGUGAUGAAGGCCCUGGAGUAGUAAAGCGCUUUUACCCGGGAAGAUAAUGACUGUACCGGGAGAAUAAGCCCCGGCUAACUCCGUG